CGGGUUGUAAACCCCUUUCGGCACAGACGAAGCGCAAGUGACGGUAUGUGCAGAGAAAGGACCGGCCAACUACGUGCCAGCAGCCGCGGUAAUACGUAGGGUCCGAGCGUUGUCCGGAAUUACUGGGCGUAAAGAGCUCGUAGGUGGUUUGUCACGUUGUUCGUGAAAACCCACAGCUCAACUGUGGGCGUGCGAGCGAUACGGGCAGACUAGAGUACUGCAGGGGAGACUGGAAUUCCUGGUGUAGCGGUGGAAUGCGCAGAUAUCAGGAGGAACACCGGUGGCGAAGGCGGGUCUCUGGGCAGUAACUGACGCUGAGGAGCGAAAGCGUGGGGAGCGAACAGGAUUAGAUACCCUGGUAGUCCACGCCGUAAACGGUGGGUACUAGGUGUGGGUUUCCUUCCUUGGGAUCCGUGCCGUAGCUAACGCAUUAAGUACCCCGCCUGGGGAGUACGGCCGCAAGGCUAAAACUCAAAGAAAUUGACGGGGGCCCGCACAAGCGGCGGAGCAUGUGGAUUAAUUCGAUGCAACGCGAAGAACCUUACCUGGGUUUGACAUGCACAGGACGCUGGUAGAGAUAUCAGUUCCCUUGUGUCCUGUGUGCAGGUGGUGCAUGGCUGUCGUCAGCUCGUGUCGUGAGAUGUUGGGUUAAGUCCCGCAACGAGCGCAACCCUUGUCUCAUGUUGCCAGCACGUAAUGGUGGGGACUCGUGAGAGACUGCCGGGGUCAACUCGGAGGAAGGUGGGGAUGACGUCAAGUCAUCAUGCCCCUUAUGUCCAGGGCUUCACACAUGCUACAAUGGCCGGUACAAAGGGCUGCGAUGCCGUGAGGUGGAGCGAAUCCUUUCAAAGCCGGUCUCAGUUCGGAUCGGGGUCUGCAACUCGACCCCGGAAGUCGGAGUCGC
rnacentral:rRNA from 1 species